AGAGUUUGAUCCUGGCUCAGGACGAACGCUGGCGGCGUGCUUAACACAUGCAAGUCGCACGGACCGCAAGGUCAGUGGCGGACGGGUGCGUAACACGUGAAGAACUUGUCCAUCGGUGGGGGAUAGCCGGCCCAACGGCCGGGUAAUACCGCGUACGUCGGCGGGGACGCAUGUUCCUGCCGGGAAAGCAGCAAUGCGCC
rnacentral:rRNA from 1 species